rnacentral:ncRNA from 15 species
AGUAAGGUGGCUGAGGGAAUAAGCGGUGGAUUGUAAAUCCAUAUACAAGGGUUAGACUCCUUUUCUUACUA